rnacentral:rRNA from 1 species
UACGGGGGGGGCAAGCGUUGUUCGGAAUUACUGGGCGUAAAGGGCUCGUAGGUGGCCAACUAAGUCAGACGUGAAAUCCCUCGGCUUAACCGGGGAACUGCGUCUGAUACUGGAUGGCUAGAGAUUGGGAGAGGGAUGCGGAAUUCCAGGUGUAGCGGUGAAAUGCGUAGAUAUCUGGGGGAACACCGGUGGCGAAGGCGGCAUCCUGGACCGGCAUUGACGCUGAGGCGCGAAAGCUAGGGGAGCAAACGGG